rnacentral:rRNA from 1 species
GCUCAACCGAGGAAGUGCUUCGAAAACUGGUAAACUUGAGUGCAGAAGAGGAGAGUGGAACUCCAUGUGUAGCGGUGGAAUGCGUAGAUAUAUGGAAGAACACCAGUGGCGAAGGCGGCUUUCUGGUCUGUAACUGACGCUGAGAUUCGAAAGCAUGGGUAGCAAACAGGAUUAGAUACCCUGGUAGUCCAUGCCGUAAACGAUGAGUGCUAAGUGUUGGAGGGUUUCCGCCCUUCAGUGCUGCAGCUAACGCAUUAAGCACUCCGCCUGGGGAGUACGAUCGCAAGAUUGAAACUCAAAGGAAUUGACGGGGGCCCGCACAAGCGGUGGAGCAUGUGGUUUAAUUCGAAGCAACGCGAAGAACCUUACCAGGUCUUGACAUACCAUGAAAAGCUCAGAGAUGAGUCUUUCCCUUCGGGGACAUGGAUACAGGUGGUGCAUGGUUGUCGUCAGCUCGUGUCGUGAGAUGUUGGGUUAAGUCCCGCAACGAGCGCAACCCUUAUUAUCAGUUGCCAGCAUUCAGUUGGGCACUCUGGUGAGACUGCCGGUGAUAAACCGGAGGAAGGUGGGGACGACGUCAAAUCAUCAUGCCCCUUAUGACCUGGGCUACACACGUGCUACAAUGGUCGGUACAACG